rnacentral:rRNA from 1 species
AUUGAACGCUGGCGGCAUGCCUUACACAUGCAAGUCGAUCGGUAACAGGUCUUCGGACGCUGACGAGUGGCGAACGGGUGAGUAAUACAUCGGAACGUGCCCAGUCGUGGGGGAUAACUACUCGAAAGAGUGGCUAAUACCGCAUACGAUCUGAGGAUGAAAGCGGGGGACCUUCGGGCCUCGCGCGAUUGGAGCGGCCGAUGGCAGAUUAGGUAGUUGGUGGGAUAAAAGCUUACCAAGCCGACGAUCUGUAGCUGGUCUGAGAGGACGACCAGCCACACUGGGACUGAGACACGGCCCAGACUCCUACGGGAGGCAGCAGUGGGGAAUUCUGGACAAUGGGCGAAAGCCUGAUCCAGCAAUGCCGCGUGCAGGAUGAAGGCCUUCGGGUUGUAAACUGCUUUUGUACGGAACGAAAAAGCUUCCCCUAAUACGGGAGGCCCAUGACGGUACCGUAAGAAUAAGCACCGGCUAACUACGUGCCAGCCGCCGCAGUAACAC